AUUGAACGCUGGCGGCAUGCCUUACACAUGCAAGUCGAACGGCAGCACGGGUGCUUGCACCUGGUGGCGAGUGGCGAACGGGUGAGUAAUACAUCGGAACAUGUCCUGUAGUGGGGGAUAGCCCGGCGAAAGCCGGCUUAAUACCGCAUACGAUCUACGGAUGAAAGCGGGGGACCUUCGGGCCUCGCGCUAUAGGGUUGGCCGAUGGCUGAUUAGCUAGUUGGUGGGGUAAAGGCCUACCAAGGCGACGAUCAGUAGCUGGCCUGAGAGGACGACCAGCGACACUGGGAGUGAGACACGGCCCAGACGCCUACGGGAGGCAGCAGUGGGGAAUUUUGGACAAUGGGCGAAAGCCUGAUCCAGCAAUGCCGCGUGUGUGAAGAAGGCCUUCGGGUUGUAAAGCACUUUUGUCCGGAAAGAAAUCCUUGGCCCUAAUACGGUCGGGGGAUGACGGUACCGGAAGAAUAAGCACCGGCUAACUACGUG
rnacentral:rRNA from 1 species